AUUACCUACGGGAGGCAGCAGUGGGGAAUAUUGGACAAUGGGGGGAACCCUGAUCCAGCGACGCCGCGUGAGUGAAGAAGUAUUUCGGUAUGUAAAGCUCUAUCAGCAGGGAAGAAAGAAAUGACGGUACCUGACUAAGAAGCCCCGGCUAACUACGUGCCAGCAGCCGCGGUAAUACGUAGGGGGCAAGCGUUAUCCGGAAUUACUGGGUGUAAAGGGUGCGUAGGCGGCACGCCAAGUCAGUUGUGAAACCCGUAGGCUCAACCUACGGCUUGCAAUUGAAACUGGCGAGCUAGAGUACAGGG
rnacentral:rRNA from 1 species